rnacentral:rRNA from 1 species
AUUGAACGCUGGCGGCAGGCUUAACACAUGCAAGUCGAGCGGUAGCACAGGGGAGCUUGCUCCCUGGGUGACGAGCGGCGGACGGGUGAGUAAUGUCUGGGAAACUGCCUGAUGGAGGGGGAUAACUACUGGAAACGGUAGCUAAUACCGCAUAACGUCGCAAGACCAAAGAGGGGGACCUUCGGGCCUCUUGCCAUCAGAUGUGCCCAGAUGGGAUUAGCUAGUAGGUGGGGUAAUGGCUCACCUAGGCGACGAUCCGUAGCUGGUCUGAGAGGAUGACCAGCCACACUGGAACUGAGACACGGUCCAGACUCCUACGGGAGGCAGCAGUGGGGAAUAUUGCACAAUGGGCGCAAGCCUGAUGCAGCCAUGCCGCGUGUGUGAAGAAGGCCUUCGGGUUGUAAAGCACUUUCAGCGAGGAGGAAGGUGGUGAGCUUAAUACGUUCAUCAAUUGACGUUACUCGCAGAAGAAGCACCGGCUAACUCCGUG